UGGUAAUGCCGGAUGCUCCAGUUGAUCGCAUGGUCUUCUGGGAAAGCUUUCGCGGUAUGGGAUGGGGUCGCGUCCUAUCAGCUUGACGGCGGGGUAACGGCCCACCGUGGCUUCGACGGGUAGCCGGCCUGAGAGGGCGACCGGCCACAUUGGGACUGAGAUACGGCCCAGACUCCUACGGGAGGCAGCAGUGGGGAAUAUUGCACAAUGGGCGCAAGCCUGAUGCAGCGACGCCGCGUGAGGGAUGGAGGCCUUCGGGUUGUAAACCUCUUUUAUCGGGGAGCAAGCGAGAGUGAGUUUACCCGUUGAAUAAGCACCGGCUAACUACGUGCCAGCAGCCGCGGUAAUACGUAGGGUGCAAGCGUUAUCCGGAAUUAUUGGGCGUAAAGGGCUCGUAGGCGGUUCGUCGCGUCCGGUGUGAAAGUCCAUCGCUUAACGGUGGAUCCGCGCCGGGUACGGGCGGGCUUGAGUGCGGUAGGGGAGACUGGAAUUCCCGGUGUAACGGUGGAAUGUGUAGAUAUCGGAAAAGAACACCA
rnacentral:rRNA from 3 species